GUUUUGCUUCGAGAUGGCUGCGGGGAUGUAUUUGGAACAUUAUCUGGACAGUAUUGAAAACCUUCCCUUUGAAUUACAGAGAAACUUUCAGCUCAUGAGGGACCUAGACCAAAGAACAGAGGGUGGACAAACACAUUCGGCGGCUGGACACAGACCUGGCCCGUUUUGAGGCUGAUCUCAAGGAGAAACAGAUUGAGUCAAGUGACUAUGACAGCUCUUCCAGCAAAGGCAAAAAGAGCCGGACUCAAAAGGAGAAGAAAGCUGCUCGUGCUCGUUCCAAAGGGAAAAACUCGGAUGAAGAAGCCCCCAAGACUGCCCAGAAGAAGUUAAAGCUCGUGCGCACAAGUCCUGAGUAUGGGAUGCCCUCAGUGACCUUUGGCAGUGUCCACCCCUCUGAUGUGUUGGAUAUGCCUGUGGAUCCCAACGAACCCACCUAUUGCCUUUGUCACCAGGUCUCCUAUGGAGAGAUGAUUGGCUGUGACAACCCUGAUUGUUCCAUUGAGUGGUUCCAUUUUGCCUGUGUGGGGCUGACAACCAAGCCUCGGGGGAAAUGGUUUUGCCCACGCUGCUCCCAAGAACGGAAGAAGAAAUAGAUAAGGGCCUUGGAUUCCAACACAGUUUCUUCCACAUCCCCUGACUUGGGCUAGUGGGCAGAGGAAUGCCUGUGCUGGGGCCAGGGGUUCAGGGAGGAGUGGAUGGCACAGUGCUGUCAUCCCUUCUCCUCCCCUCUCCCCACUCCCGGUGCUGAGGCUGCAUCAGACCCUGGUAGGGAGGGG
rnacentral:lncRNA from 1 species